GAGAAUGUCCUGUCCUGUUCCUAAGUACUAGUGCCGCAGGAGUGAUUAGGCUGGGCAAGACGUUACCGUAUCUCCUGCUGCUCAAGUGCUUAUCAACGGGUCUGGACGGCU
rnacentral:pre_miRNA from 1 species